AACCUUUACACUGCACGACAGUGCGAUAGAGGGACUCCGAGUGCGAGGGCAUAGAGCCCUCGCUUUUGUACACCGUAAGGUGGUGUACGAAUAAGAACUGGGCAAGACCGGUGCCAGCCGCCGCGGUAAUACCGGCAGUUCGAGUGAUGGCCGAUUUUAUUGGGCCUAAAGCGUUCGUAGCUGGCCGAUCAAGUCUGUCGGGAAAUCUGCUCGCCUAACGAGCAGGCGUCCGGCGGAAACUGAUCGGCUUGGGACCGGAAGACUCGAGGGGUACGUCCGGGGUAGGAGUGAAAUCCUGUAAUCCUGGACGGACCACCGAUGGCGAAAGCACCUCGAGAGCACGGAUCCGACAGUGAGGAACGAAAGCUGGGGUCUCGAACCGGAUUAGAUACCCGGGUAGUCCCAGCUGUCAACGAUGCCCGCUAGGUAUGGCGCAGGCUACGAGCCUGCGCUGUGCCGUAGGGAAGCCGUGAAGCGAGCCGCCUGGGAAGUACGUCUGCAAGGAUGAAACUUAA
rnacentral:rRNA from 1 species